CAGUCACUCUCCUCCAAAACACUAGCCAACUGACCUGAGCCAACUGUGCCACUUCUGUGGGGAGCUGGACAAUAAUGAGGAAGACACUAACUGGAUUGGUUGUGACUGCCCACGAUGGUUCCACCAGACCUGUAUGAAAACCAUCCCAUCAUUGGAGGCUUAUGUCUGCGCUGCCUGUCAGGACUAGGUUAGGCUUGAGUUCCAGGCGAUGGUUUCACCUGGAAAACUUUGCAUAAAAAGUGGACUAAAUGUUCAGUUGCGCUGGUGCAGCUUUCCAAUAUUUGUUUAUGUUAUUUAUUGUCUUUUUAUAUUUGAUUUAUUGUCAUUUUAUCUUAUUAUGCAAAGAUUUAAAUUUCUAUUUCUUAUUUAAUGUUUGUUAACAAACUUAACUUUGUCAUGUUAUUGUGUGAUAAUAUUUGUGUAUUAUCAUUAUUUUCUUAAACAUUACAAAAUGUUUCUAAAAUAAAAGUUUGUUACUUUAUA